rnacentral:lncRNA from 1 species
UUGAAAGAUGAAGAAGAUGUAGAACAAAUAUCGCCAAUGAAUGAGCCAGGAGAAAAUCUUGAAAGUUCAGCUAGCAUGAUAUCUGCAGAAACCGAGGAAGUUGCUUUGAAUAAAACGACUCGGAAAACUGAGGAAGAGAUAGAUGAGGUUGUUGAAGGCGUCAAGAAGGAGGCAGAAACUGGAAAAGAAGAUGGCGAGGUACAGGUCAUUGACGAGAACAAUGCUAAAAGCAUCCCAGUAGAAUCCAUCAAGGAAGUUCCAGUUAGCAAAUUGCUGAAUGAUGAAAAUAAUGCUGAGGCGUUUAAAAGAGAGGUGAGUGUAAACUUUGUCUCUAUCAAUUUAUUCCAUACUCUUGUUUGUUGACUGAAAAGUUUUUGUUUGUUAAGCAGAUUUCUGAGGAAUCUGUGGCAGCUGGAACAAAUGAGAAUAUUACAGAUGCGACGUGUCAGAAUGAUGGAACAACCCCCAAUGCAGCUCCUGAAACUUCGACAGCGAAAGAGAAAUUGAAAGAUGAAGAGGAUGUAGAACAAAUACCGCCCAAGAAUGAGCCAGGAGAAAAUCUUGAAAGUUCAGCUGGUAUGAUACCUGCAGAAACCGAGGAAGUUACUUUGAAUAAAACAACUCGGAAAACUGAGGAAGAGAUAGAUGAGGGUGUUGAAGGCAUCAAGAAGGAGGCAGAAACUGGAAAAGAAGAUGGCGAGGAACAGGUCAUUGAUGAGAACGAUGCUAAAAGCAUCCCAGUAGAAUCUAUCAAAGAUGUUCCAGUUAGCAAACUGUUAAAUGAUGAAAAUAAUGCUGAGGC